GCCCGGACAUUCAUACUCCUUGUCUGUCUGUUAUUGAUGUGGGUGCAUCGCGCUUGUGUCAUCUUGGCCGCAUGCACUCGCGUCAAUAAUCUAUAUCAGACUUUGUGUCUGUAUCUCACGUCCGCGGAACGCGCAUUGCGCUCGCUUUGCGCAGUGCACCUGGUUCAUGAGCUGUCUUCAUGUUUGUGCUGAGGUUUGGUCACUUUGGUAAGGUGUCAGUCUCCUUGUGUGUGCUGUCCAGAGCCAGUUCGUCUUGUUCUCUAGUCGGUCCUGUAUGUGUUUUCUAGUAUCCUGUCGAUCCUGUUCCUCAACCUGGUUCCUGGUCCGGUCGGUCCUGUUUCCCUCUGCCCCAGUCUGGAUUCCUGUUUCCCCUACGGGGUAGUUUUUGUUGGUUUCCCCCUUGUGGAUUUUGUUUAUUUUAUUAAUAAAGUACUUUUGGUUUUGAA